rnacentral:misc_RNA from 1 species
GUGAAUCAUCGAAUCUUUGAACGCAAAUUGCACUUUCUGGUAUUCCGGAAAGUACGCCUGUUUGAGGGUCAGUUAAAUAAAAAUCGGGGUUGUUGCUUCUUUUCGUUGUUACGCGUCGGAAUUGAGUUGUCUUACCUUCGGUUAAGUGACUUAAAAUUUUUCAUGAUUUUCUAACGUCGUUAUCUUUCUUACGUACGUUUGAUAUCUC